rnacentral:rRNA from 1 species
UACAGAGGGGGCGAGCGUUGUUCGGAAUUACUGGGCGUAAAGGGUGCGUAGGUGGGUCUGUAAGUCAGUGGUGAAAUCUCCGGGCUUAACCCGGAAACUGCCAUUGAUACUAUAGAUCUUGAAUAUCCUGGAGGUGAGCGGAAUAUGUCAUGUAGCGGUGAAAUGCUUAGAUAUGACAUAGAACACCAAUUGCGAAGGCAGCUCACUACGGGAUCAUUGACACUGAGGCACGAAAGCGUGGGGAUCAAACAGG